GGGCUGGUUGUCCAACGGGAAGACGCUGCGCUUGCAGCGCAGAAAUGUGAGUUCAAUUCCCGCGCAGUCCA
rnacentral:tRNA from 2 species